CCUUGGUGCACCAGGCGCGAAAACUUUACAAUGCGGGAAACCGUGAUAAGGGGACACCGAGUGCCAGCAUCAUAUGCUGGCUGUCCGGGUGUGUAAAAUACACCCGUUAGCAAGGGCCGGGCAAGACCGGUGCCAGCCGCCGCGGUAACACCGGCGGCCCGAGUGGUGAUCGUGAUUAUUGGGUCUAAAGGGUCCGUAGCCGGUUUGGUCAGUCCUCCGGGAAAUCUGACGGCUCAACCGUUAGGCUUUCGGGGGAUACUGCCAGGCUUGGAACCGGGAGAGGUAAGAGGUACUACAGGGGUAGGAGUGAAAUCUUGUAAUCCCUGUGAGACCACCUGUGGCGAAGGCGUCUUACCAGAACGGGUUCGACGGUGAGGGACGAAAGCUGGGGGCACGAACCGGAUUAGAUACCCGGGUAGUCCCAGCCGUAAACGAUGCUCGCUAGGUGUCAGGCAUGGCGCGACCGUGUCUGGUGCCGCAGGGAAGCCGUGAAGCGAGCCACCUGGGAAGUACGGCCGCAAGGCUGAAACUUAAAGGAAUUGGCGGGGGAGCAC
rnacentral:rRNA from 1 species